rnacentral:rRNA from 1 species
CGGAGGGGCGUAGCGUUGUUCGGAAUUACUGGGCGUAAAGCGCACGUAGGCGGACUGGAAAGUCAGGGGUGAAAUCCCGGGGCGUCAACCCCGGAACUGCCUUUGAAACUCCCGGUCUUGAGGUCGAGAGAGGUGAGUGGAAUUCCGAGUGUAGAGGUGAAAUUCGUAGAUAUUCGGAGGAACACCAGUGGCGAAGGCGGCUCACUGGCUCGAUACUGACGCUGAGGUGCGAAAAGCGUGGGGAGCAAACAGGAUU